rnacentral:rRNA from 1 species
UACAGGGGGGGCAAGCGUUGUUCGGAAUUACUGGGCGUAAAGGGUCUGUAGGUGGCCAACUAAGUCAGACGUGAAAUCCCUCAGCUUAACUGGGGAACUGCGUCUGAUACUGGAUGGCUUGAGUGUGGGAGAGGAAUGCGGAAUUCCAGGUGUAGCGGUGAAAUACGUAGAUAUCUGGAGGAACACCGGUGGCGAAGGCGGCAUUCUGGACCAUAACUGACACUGAGAGACGAAAGCCAGGGGAGCAAACGGG